UCAGAGGCAGCUUGUAAAUAGGAGCAGAAGAGGGGGAAAUAUUUGCAUACACCGAGCUCGGACGAAAGAUGAAACAAGCGGCAGGAAGAAAUACAGCUGCUCAAAACCAUCCAGAAAAGAACAUACAAGGGAAGGUCACAGUGACAUCCAUAACACUGUGCUCCUGAAACCAUCACCAUAGAUCCUUUUACCAAGACAGUUCGCCUUUAGUGCUUGUGGCUCUUUUUGGCUCCUAACAAAUGCAAUGGAUCAUCAAGCACAAACUUCAGUGCAGGAAAGAUUUGCAGCUGCUGGCUAACAGAUCACAAUGGACAUGAUGAGCUUCAGGAUAGAAAUCUUAGUAAAUCAGAUGCUACCACCCACAGGGAAAGAGAGUGGAAAAUUGGUGCUUGUAUUACUUUCUGGCAUGGCUGCUCAGAGGGAUGUUCUCAAAUUGCCAAACAAACAAACAAAAAAACUAUAAAAAAGCUUCAAAGGUAUUC